GACAGAGGUUGCAAACGUUGUUCGGAAUUACUGGGCAUAAAGCGCACGUAGGUGGUCCGCUAAGUCGGAUGUGAAAUUCCCCGGCUCAACCGGGGAACGGCAAUCGAUACUGGCGGGCUUGAGGUCCGGAGGGGUGAGUGGAACUCCUGGUGGAGCGGUGAAAUGCGUAGAUAUCAGGAGGAACACCAGUGGCGAAGGCGGCUCACUGGCCCGAUACUGACGCUGAGGUGCGAAAGCGUGGGGAGCAAACAGG
rnacentral:rRNA from 1 species